ACGAACGCUGGCGGCACGCCUAACACAUGCAAGUCGAACGCCUGGUAGCAAUACCGGGAGUGGCGGACGGGUGAGUAACGCGUGGGAACCUGCCUUGUGGUGCGGGACAACUCCGGGAAACCGGGGCUAAUGCCGCAUGAUGCCGUGGCAACACGGCUAAAGAUUUAUCGCCAUGAGAGGGGCCCGCGUCGGAGUAGGUAGUUGGUGGGGUAACGGCCUACCAAGCCUUCGAUCCGUAGCUGGUCUGAGAGGAUGGCCAGCCACACUGGGACUGAGACACGGCCCAGACUCCUACGGGAGGCAGCAGUGGGGAAUCUUGGACAAUGGGGGCAACCCUGAUCCAGCGAUGCCGCGUGGGUGAUGAAGGCCUUCGGGUUGUAAAGCCCUUUCGCCGGGGACGAUAGUGACGGUACCCGGAGAAGAAGCCUCGGCUAACUCCGU
rnacentral:rRNA from 1 species